GGGCCCAUAGAUCAGCGGAAGAUCGCCGCCUUCGCAAGGCGGAGGCCGCGGGUUCAAAAAUCCCUCGGGGACAA
rnacentral:tRNA from 1 species